CAGGCUUUCAGCCUUGGCUAGCUGGAUGCAAGAUUUAAAUACCUUAUUUUGCUUCCCACACUUGCUUUUUAAAACAGCAGGGACGGUGACACGGACUGUUACAGGAGUAAAGGACACGAUACAUUUAUCUUAGAGGAUUAAGAAGCACGAGUGUACGAGGGCGCAUAUGGAUAACACGAUGCAGCUAGCCAUGCUAGGCAGUGUUAACAUCGGCCUUGCGUGGCCACAAUGAGACCGCUCUUCUGACAACCCUGGUGUUUUCAGUAGAUCUUGUUGCCUCGCUGGACAGCGUGUUGGAGGAGCACAAAGACAGCUGCUGUUUUCAAAGGCACCUCAAAAACUUUUGGACAUGCUGUUAGUUCUUGAAGUUUACAUUCUGGAGGAAGUAAAAAAUGCAGAAAUUCUUGCUAUUCAGGCAGAUGAGACAACCGACAUUUCCACCCAUUGCCAGUUGGUGUUUGUGCUACGGUACAUCAAUAAGGAGAACAACAGCUGUUGGCUACUGAGAUUAGAAACCACAUCCCCUACUCACCUUCACUGGAAUCAGUGAGUGACCUUGGAAUGUAACCAAACAACCAGAGGCCUCACUCGAAUUGAUCUCAUUAUCCAUCACUGACAGACAGACAGACAAGGUUACAAAAACUAUGCUUCUAAAUUGUGUUGCAUUAAGAAAUGUGUCAGUAACUCUUUAUACCAAGGGUCAUGCAGCAACAUGUAGAUGUUUGCAUCUGACCACCAGUUUGAUAAAAACAGCUGCACAUCUCUUUGAGAACAGGCACUGUUCUGCUUUCAGAGAGGCUGAUCCAAUGAAUGCACAACGGCCAAUGUUUGAAGUAACUGUGAGUUAAUACUUAUUAAUUGAUAAUCCAUUAAGUGUUAAGUAAGCAGAUAAACUCAAAGUGACUUUCUUAGUGUGGUUCAAAGUGAGCAACAGUAAUUGGAACUGACAAAUCAUACUUGAAGAACAGCUAUGCUGCAUAAAUUCCUGCAUUAAUAAUGCAUAUGUCCUGCAUUACCCAUGUUUUAUACACUUAUUAUAAAGUGUUACUAACGUGUCAGUUAUUUUAACAUUUUCACCACACUGCUUGGAGCAAGUGUCUUUAUAAUAUGACACUGCUUCAGGUGUUCAUUUUUGCAAGCAGCAUUGGCUAAAAUGUCUCAACAACUAUUGAAUUGAUUGCCAUUAAAUUAGUUUCAGCUGUACUUUGUGUUUUGUGCUAAUUAGCAAACUUUAUCAUGCUAACACAAUACACUGAGAUGGCUUGUCAACCUUUUAUCUGCUAAACAUCCGUAUGUAAGCAUUGUUGUUAUGAGCAUGUUAGCUGUUAGAGCCAUUAAGAAAACGUGGUUAAUCUUUAGGAUAAUUUCGUAUUCAUAAUUUAUAUUAAUUUUCCUUUAUGUGUUUCACUUGGUAAUAUUUUAUGUUUGUCUCAGACAGAUGUCAUUAGUGUGUAUUUAGCGAAUUAACAUGUGUAGGUGUGCUCCCUUAGUUUGUCCUGUUAACUCAGAGCUACUGAAGUGCUGUACAAUGCAGCUAAGUGUAGUAAAAAAAUGAGGUGAGAGCACCUAUUGGCACGUGCUGUGGUAAAAAGGGUCAGCCAAGCAGGACAUGGAGCAACAGUUUUCUGACUGUUGCGUCGUGUAUAGCAAUUUGGACAUUUUGACUAUGUGUAAGUAUGUUUGAUAGAACACAUAUUUAGGACUCUGCCUAGAUAUGUUGUUACGGUUGUCUUUUUCAUCAAAUAAAACUUCGAAUAUUUUUUCAUCUUA